AAUAGAUACCCAGGUAGUCCACCCCGUAAACGUUGGGAACUAGUUGUGGGGACCAUUCCACGGUUUCCGUGACGCAGCUAACGCAUUAAGUUCCCCGCCUGGGGAGUACGGCCGCAAGGCUAAAACUCAAAGGAAUUGACGGGGACCCGCACAAGCGGCGGAGCAUGCGGAUUAAUUCGAUGCAACGCGAAGAACCUUACCAAGGCUUGACAUAUACGAGAACGGGCCAGAAAUGGUCAACUCUUUGGACACUCGUAAACAGGUGGUGCAUGGUUGUCGUCAGCUCGUGUCGUGAGAUGUUGGGUUAAGUCCCGCAACGAGCGCAACCCUCGUUCUAUGUUGCCAGCACGUAAUGGUGGGAACUCAUGGGAUACUGCCGGGGUCAACUCGGAGGAAGGUGGGGAUGACGUCAAAUCAUCAUGCCCCUUACUUGUCUUGGGCUUCACGCAUGCUACAAUGGCCGGUACAAAGGGCUGCAAUACCGUAAGGUGGAGCGAAUCCCAAAAAGCCGGUCCCAGUUCGGAUUGAGGUCUGCAACUCGACCUC
rnacentral:rRNA from 1 species